rnacentral:lncRNA from 1 species
GCUCUUCUCUCACUAUCUUUUUCCCCAAGGUUUUUUGGGAGAUGGAAGUCUAGAAUUUAUAACCUGAUUUUUAUGACUUUGUGGGCUCAAAAGAGAGAGGUCCAAGUCCAAGAUUUUUCUGUUAUAUUUUAUUUAUUUAUUUAUUUAUUUAUUUUAUUUUUUUUCGAAACGCGUGGGCUUCGCCUAGCGAGCAUGACAGUUCAUGAACAAACUUUUGCUCCUUCAAGAUUAACGU